rnacentral:rRNA from 1 species
UACGGGGGGGGCAAGCGUUGUUCGGAAUUACUGGGCGUAAAGGGCUCGUAGGCGGCCAACUAAGUCAGACGUGAAAUCCCCCGGCUCAACCGGGGAAGUGGCACCGAUACGAGCGGCCUCGAGGGGGGUAGGGGGGUCUGGAACUUCCGGUGGAGCGGUGAAAUGCGUUGAGAUCGGAAGGAACGCCCGUGGCGAAAGCGAGGCCCUGGACCCUUACUGACGCUGAGACGCGAAAGCCAGGGGAGCGAACGGG